rnacentral:rRNA from 1 species
UACGUAGGGUCCGAGCGUUGUCCGGAAUUAUUGGGCGUAAAGGGCUCGUAGGCGGUUUGUCGCAUCGGGAGUGAAAACUCAGGGCUCAACCCUGAGCGUGCUUCCGAUACGGGCAGACUAGAGGUAUGCAGGGGAGAACGGAAUUCCUGGUGUAGCGGUGGAAUGCGCAGAUAUCGGGAGGAAUACCGGUGGCGAAGGCGGCAUCCUGGACCGGCAUUGGACGCUGAGGAGCGAAAGCCAGGGGAGCAAAGCGGG